CAAGACGUAGCUUAAGUUA
rnacentral:tRNA from 5 species